UUGAACUGAAGAGUUUGAUCAUGGCUCAGAUUGAACGCUGGCGGCAGGCCUAACACAUGCAAGUCGAGCGGAUGAAGGGAGCUUGCUCCUGAAUUCAGCGGCGGACGGGUGAGUAAUGCCUAGGAAUCUGCCUGGUAGUGGGGGACAACGUUUCGAAAGGAACGCUAAUACCGCAUACGUCCUACG
rnacentral:rRNA from 1 species